rnacentral:rRNA from 1 species
UACAGAGGGUGCGAGCGUUGUCCGGAAUCACUGGGCGUAAAGGGCGCGUAGGCGGCUUGAUAAGCGUGCGGUGAAAGCCCGGGGCUCAACCCCCGGGUCGGCCGUGCGAACUGUCGAGCUGGAGCACUGUAGAGGCAGGUGGAAUUCCGGGUGUAGCGGUGGAAUGCGUAGAGAUCCGGAAGAACACCGGGUGGCGAAGGCGGCCUGCUGGGCAGUGGCUGACGCUGAGGCGCGACAGCGUGGG